UACGGCCGCAAGGUUAAAACUCAAAGGAAUUGACGGGGCCCCGCACAAGCAGCGGAGCGUGUGGUUUAAUUCGAUGCUACACGAAGAACCUUACCAGGGUUUGACAUGCUAGUGGUAGGAAACCGAAAGGUGACCGACCCUUCGGGGAGCUAGCACAGGUGCUGCAUGGCUGUCGUCAGCUCGUGUCGUGAGAUGUUCGGUUAAGUCCGCUAACGAGCGCAACCCUCGCUGUGUGUUAUAUGUGUCACAUGGGACUGCCGGCCUUAAGCCGGAGGAAGGUGGGGAUGAUGUCAAGUCAGCAUGGCCUUUAUGUCCUGGGCUACACACACGCUACAAUGGUCAGCACAAUGGGUCGCUAAGCCGCAAGGUGGAGCCAAUCCUCAAAGUUGGCCUCAGUUCAGAUUGUAGGCUGCAACUCGCCUGCAUGAAGAUGGAGUUGCUAGUAAACGCAGGUCAGCUAUACUGCGUUGAAUACGUUCCCGGGGCUUGUACACACCGCCCGUAAGGGC
rnacentral:rRNA from 1 species